AUACUCGAGUAAUCGCUGCGGCCCAUCGAGGUCGUAGAGGAAAGUCCAUGCUCACACGGCUCUGUGAUGACCGUAGUGUUCGUGCUACCUGAAAAAAUAAGGGUAGGCAAGUGUAAAGCUUGACGGCGGAAGGAACUCCUAAGUCAUUUUGAUAUGGACGAAACUUCCUGAAAGUGCCACAGUGACGGAGCUUAUAAUGAAAGUUAUAAGGUGGAACGAGGUAAACCCCAUGAGUGAGAAACCCAAAUUAUGGUAGGGGCACUCUCCUGAAGGAAACGAACGGAUGGAGGGACGGUAAUAAUACCGUAGAUAGAUGAUUACUACCUGGUCGUACGAGGCGAUAGCUGUUUGAGUACUCAGGAACAAAACAUGGCUUACUGAU
rnacentral:RNase_P_RNA from 1 species